rnacentral:lncRNA from 1 species
AUGUCAACCACCGGCCUAAGGAAAGCAGCGGGAGAGCUAAAGCAUGACGCGGCUUAAGCAGCUUGUCUGAGUUUGCACAGCUGGCAAAUGGCUGAGCCAUGACUCACAUGCAGGUCCAUCCACCGCCAAAGCUGGAGAUCUCUGGCAUCCUUCUAACAUCAGAAAGGGAAAGAAAUCCCUAAUAAGGAGCCUAGGUGACGGCGUGCCCACCCUCCACUUUCCCACCUCCACCAAGCACCCGUUUGAAGGCUGUUCACGCCAGUCACUGCAAUCACCGUUGAGCACAGAGAUGACAGUUCCAGCAAGCACUGACCUUCCAACACACUCUGCGGAGGAGAAGACUGAGGGGCCGAGAGGAUGGUGAUUUGCUGCAGUUGAUUCUGAGUCUAAUUUCCCGGCGCUGACUCAAACUCAUUAGGAACACUGCUUUCACUGAGUGUAUGAAGUGGUUUCUCCAUCCGUGUGCUCAUACCGGUCCCACGGCCCAGGUGUGGGGCGGAGCACUCCUUUCUGCCUCCUCCCUGGAUUGCAGGACCUGUGUCUCUCUUUAUGAAAGAGAUACCAUUUGGGGAAGACUCGCAUUGUCAGGAGCGCUGUGGACGCUCCGGGUGGAGAUCAACACGGUGAUGAUGAUGAUGCCGGGUGGAGGGAAUGUGCGCUUUUCAGGAGUAGGAGCCAAAGGCAUUUUGCUGACCUCAAUGCAGAUUGACCCUGCAACAAGGUGCAGAAGAGGCACCAAAGGGGCUUUGUAGCCAGCAACAUGCCAGAUCGAUGUGCCUUGUUGAUGCAGCCGACUCUGCAGGGGUGCAGGAGUGGCCUCCACCACCCACCCAGCACCCCUGGGGACUGUCCCCGUCCCCCCAGGGACUCCAGAGGGAAUGUGUUUUGUGCCGUGUGGAAAACAAGCCAUGCUCACUGCAAACCACGACAGCCCCUUCAAGCUGUCAGAGUCCCUGCAUGUGGAGCGAAAAGGGGGAAAAAAGACAAUUUACAAUUGCAAAUUGGAACCCCUCUCUCGGAGUGGAGUGAUAAUCCAGCUAGGGAGACAGAUGGCGAGAAAGUGCUCCAGGAACGUGUUACAACACAUCACUGCCUAGCAGAGACGAGAGGCCCCGGGAAGGACCUGGUGCCUGCCAUUCCAACCUUGAGGGGCUCCUGGAGGGACACUGAGGACAAGGCAGCUGUCCCAUCACCUUGCUCUUGUCUCUGCCCUCACCUCUCCCCACUGCGCAGGGCUCAGGACUACGGGCGCCCAGACACAAAGGCCAAGGGCCACAGAACAGUGAACUCCACACUGUGCAGCUGUUGGCGGGAGCGGCGGGGAGAGAGACCACAGUCCCAUUUCUGCUGCCUUUUAAAUAAAAGACAAGGAGGAUGGCGA